AACGUUGCUGAGGGCCCGGUGAGGGCGGGGAGCCUAUUCAGCGGCAGUGCUACAACCCUGGCAGGAGCGGGGGGUGCCCGGCUCCCUCAGCCGCCCAGGGCACGGAGCAGGGCUGCGGGUUCCCUUCCGUGGCGGGGAGUUCCCAUAAGAGGAGAAACGGGGGAAUUGAGCCACCGUGUGGGAUUAAAGCGCUGAUGAGCCGCGGCCGCCGCGAGUGCGGAGAGCAGGCAAGUCUCUGCCCAAGAGCCCAGAAUGCCUCAAGUUCCAGAGGGUUCAAAGCCACCCAUCGGUGCAAGCUGGCUCACGACUUCCCAUUGAAACAGGAAAGGUUUAAACUCCAGGGGGGGGCGACACAAGCGAUGUGCUUAUGUUCUGUGGGUCUCCAAUUGUUUUAAACUUUAGAGGGUUGUUCAUUGCUUUGCCACAUCACAGUCUAAGUUAUACUACUUUUGAAAAUGAGGAUUGAAGUCUGGGAGAAAAUGAAGGCUUUUUAAGAUAUAUUUGUUUUAGUUAGAAUAAACUUAAGUAUCAGCUAAAAAAAUGUAUUCUUAUAAUUAUAUUUCUAUAAUUGUAUUUCUAUAAUUAUAAUUUCUUAUAAUUCUUAUAAUGUAUUCUUAUAAUUGAUUUAUUUUUUUUAAUAGGGAGUAUUCCUGUUUUCCCCAGCCUUAUACCCAAACACAUGUUCUGGGUUGAAUUUAAUAUUCGGGCUUUUCAAUAUCUUGGCCUUGUCAGGAAGGUUGCAGGAGGAUAUGUUCGUCUCAUAUUUGCCUUGCUGCAGCUAAGUUUAAAUUACUGGGUAUUGCAGAGGGCAAAUGAAACCCUUAAUAUUAUUUUAAUGUAAUUUUGUGCAGAAUUUAUUAAAACAAUGCUAAGAAAAUGAAAAAUAAUUUUGAUGAAAUGGAGAAGGUGUUGUUUUUCAAUUCUUGCAUGGAAGAUCUCUGGAGUGAGAGCUAUACCCCUAUAAGGGAAUUGGGAAGUUUUUUGGCAACGUGCCUAAAAGCCACUUCAGACCUGUUCAUGAGUUUGGAUGGCAAGCCAACAUCCAUUUUAAUUCACAGAAGUGCUUAGAAAAACAACAGAAUUUAUUGGGCAAUAUCCAGGAGAGGUUAAAUUCACAUUGAGUCUGUACUGAAGUAGUAACAGCUGCUGUGAGGAUUAACCUUUUUGGCUGGUGGGAUGAAAGGAAAUAUUAACUAACUAUACUGUAGAUGGAAGUAUAGCAGGUUAACAUGAUUUAUAAAGUAGGAUCAUUUAUAACGGGAGGGUUGGUUAUAUUUUAUUGUGGUUUAAAUUUAUACUGAAGUAACAGCUUUAAAUAGGAUAUUUUUUAUUGAUGUAGUCAAAAAAAUAACACCAGCUUGAAGAAUAGGUGGUGUAAAAAUCAAUAAUGAAAUAAAGAAUGUUUCUGAGCUUUUGUUAUUAUUUUCAGUGAGUCCCAGGACAGUUGCUGUUGGAAAAUUACAACCAUCUGAUGAUGGGUGGAUGUCCUCAGUGAAACACACUGGUGGUGCAAGUCUGGAUUAUAUUGGGAAAGUGUCAAUACAAAAUCAUCUGCACAGUUGGCAUUCAUUUCCUUUUCACUGGCAGUUUCAGGAGAGCAAAAGGAUCAGGUAACUGCUGAGAGUGCACCAGUGGUUGAUAUCUCAGGGAAAGAGGAGACAAAUGAGGAGCUUAGGAGCUUGUGUUGUUGCUUUGCCUAUUUAAUUGAUAAAAUUAGGGGCUGUAGUUUACUAGUCUUCCUGAGCCAUAAAUAUGUCAAAUUAGUAGUGAGAAGUUGUUUGGAAGGGAGAAUUCUUUCUUGGAAAAAAUACAGACAAAAUGUCAGGUUUGGUAACUCUGCAUCCAAUUGUUAUGUGAAGGACACAGAGUGAACCCAAUUAGCCUGUGCAUGUGUUCACAGUUAAUGAUGUGAUCUUUUUAAAAUUAAUGGUUGGUUCUCUUGUUCCUGAGAAGAAAAAAUCUGGCAAUCCUGCAGAACUUUUUUCUGGAGGACACAAUAGACCAGGUUGGAAGCUUUUUUUACUAAACCUGCAUGGAUUAGUUUGAAGAUAAAUUAUUUUUUCCAGAGAAGAUGUAGAGUGCUGACAUAAGAGAGAUGACACAAACCUUAUUAUAUCAUCAAACUGGUUUUUAAAGGAAUGAAAUAUUACACAUGGCUGGUUUUGUUCCACUGUGUACAUUGAGGGAGUGGGUAUUUUUUGCUGGAAUCGUUGGAGUUGUCAUUUUCAAUAGCAUAACCUAUUUUCAGAGUUUCCCACUGAACAUCAGGUAAUGGAGCUCAGCUUCGACAUUCUUACUGUGUGCAGGCUGCCUUCUGCUGCUGCAAAUAUCCCCAGCGAGAGGGACUGGGGAAACAUGGUGCAAAAAGCUUCCAAAGCUGUUCCUUUGGUGUUGUCACUUUCAGCAAGUGCUCAUAGUCAGCACAGGGUGAAGACCAAACACACCUCGAGGUUUUAUUUGUGCCGUGAGAAUUUGACAUCUGUGUUUCCAAUUCGAAGGGGAAAUGACAAAGCAGGAAGGAUUAUCUGUGCUCUUUAUUUUCUAAUUUUCAGUCUUGUUUCAGCCACGCUUGCCCUGAGCUCGUGUGCUGUGUUCCUGUGGGCCACGGUGGGGCAGGAGCGAGGGUGUAGAGCAGGGAAAGUGCCUGAGGAGCUGCAGCGGGAGAAGGACAGAGCGAUGAUCCUGGCAGAAUUGUUGGUUUGUUUUGUUCUUUGGGCACAGGAAAAUUAGGAGAUGGCACCCUCCAGUUUAAAGCCUGUUCUCGUAAGAGUUGAUUAUAUUAACGGGCAACCACUUCACUCUUCAAUUGCUUCAGAAGUUUAAAGAGCUGUUACUUCACACCAACCAUCUCGUUGCUUAGUGAUGCCAAGAAAUCACUCUUAUCUGCAUGCCAUUCCCUUCUCAAGUUCUUUUUCCCUCAGAGAUUCAUCUGGCUGGGAUUCUUUUACAAUUCACUUCUCCUUUUAUGCAGUUAUUUUUCUUUAAGUGUCCUCAUAGUUUUUCAUAGUACCCCUAAGCCGUCCUCUCUUCAUAUUACUUUGAAUUCAUCAGGAUUUAUUAGGAUGUUUUUUGUCACCUUGAUUCUUCUUUCAUCUUUCCCCAAAUUAAUAUUUUUGUGGAAAUAGCUCCUGUAGUUUGCCAUUUAACAGUCUGCACUUUUUCAUUUUCUUUGUUGUUGCUGAUAAGGGCAUUGUAUACCUUUGGCUUGCUACCGUAUAUAAAAAUAGCCUCCAAGAUAGGGCUAACUUUUUAAACUAUUUCAUAAUAUCACACUAUUUAAAACAGAAUCCCUUCUCUUUUAAAGGUUGCACUGGAGAUGUGUUUGUAUAUUUGGUUUUUUCCUUCUGUUUUUUUCUUAUUCCUUCCUUUGGAUCCAGACUGUAAUACAAAUUAAAUUUGUUUAGGCAAACCCACUGUGCAUUUAAAAAAAGUAAUUUUAAAGAUGGGUUCCUGGGGGUCUGACAGAAAAGCUAAACCAGCUGUGCUCUCCAGGACAAACAACACAUAAAUCUACAGUAUCUUUUCUUCAGGAUCAAAUAAGUGAAAGAAAAGCCUCAGAAAGUAAAAGAUAUUUUUAUCUCACAGAAGCAGAGAUAAAAUAAUUUUGUGUCCAUUUAAAUUUUAGCCAUUCCUGUUCCAUUGUAAAAUCCAAGCUCUAUUUACCUGUUUGAGAUGAAGGUUGUCUUUAGGUCCAAGAAGAAAUGGUUAUUCAGCUCUUUAGUGAAGAGCCAGUCUCACAAGAACACUUUCCAGUUGUGUUUGUUCUAGCUGAUUUGCUUGAAUAGAAAGGAAGCAAGAAAAUUCUAGAAACUAAAACAGAAAUACAAUUAAGUAUUAAGUGUGGAGGUCUGGUUUUCCUGCUUUUUUAAAUCCAAGUUUCAUCUGGGAUAUUGUCUCAUUUUAUGGUUUUCAAUUUAAUUAUUUUAUCAACAAUUCCAGUAGUUUACCAGAUUAUUUUUCCCCAUUUAUUUCUAAGUAAACCUCUUGACAUUUAUUGGGUUGCUCACUGGAGCUAAUAGGAAGGCUCCCAUUAAUUUUUUGGACAAAGUGUCUGGAGAAUGAGAUGAUUUCCAGAAGAGCCACAAUAAAAAAUUAUUCAGUUGGUGCUAUCCCUGCUGUAUUUGGGGCAAAAUAUAUAUGUAUGUUCUUCCUGAAGUGUUUUAAACCUGCGCACCAAGUAAGAAAUUACAUUUAUGCUUCUGUGGGUUUUCAGAGAGUGUUUAUAGGUAGAACCCUUCGUUUCCACAGGGCUUUCUCCUGCAUGCCCUGCAUGCUGCCCAUGGCAUUCUGCAGGAAUGGAAUGGGUACUAACAGAUGGCAGGGUUUGUGUGCUGGGGUAGAACAGGUGCUGGCAUUUUGUGAACGCACAUUAUUUCAUAUCUUAAUAAAUAAUGUAGCUGGGCAGCUGGAGGGGUCUUGUAGUGAUUUUAUUAAAUUCUUUGAGGCAAAAAAAGCCAGCAGAUAGCCCCAUGGCAGGGGAAAUAUUAGUGACAGAAACAAAGCACUGCCCUGUGCACAGUGCAGGGUGUCCCCAUUGUCAGAGAUGAGUGUGGGACACAGAGGGAAUUCUUCCAGUGUUGGGGAAGGGGAUAAGAAACAACUACAGCAAGCAAAUAGACUGAAAAUUAAAAAAUGAAAACUGCUAGAAGUCCGAGUGUUUUUGUCUGGUUAGAUCUUUUUUAUUCAUUUAAUUUUUUUACAUCUGCACAAGAAAACGGAAUGUCUUGAUCUUCCCUUUUAUUUACUCAUUUCUGGCCAGUCUGUUUCUGAUUCCUCCCCUAUACCUGCUCCAAAUACACACAUUAUAUCUUUUCAUAAACAACUUCAGAAUGUAAGUGGAAACAAUGAAUCAAUUUUCUUUUUGGUUAUUGAGCUGAGUCAAGUGACAGAGGGACCCACUGAAUUCCAGACCGUCUAAAGAAAAAAUGGAAGCAGAAUCUUCCUACUUUGUUAGCAGCAAACUUCCAGACUGUCACAGCUUUUCAGGUAAUUGCAGCCUCAGGAUGCAGUUUUAUAUCUACUCAAAACUGACCUAAGACUUUCCUGUUCCCUCUGUUCAAGCCCUCCCUAAAAACAUUUUGUUUUUCAUAACAGUCACUAAACAGAGUCGAUAAUUUCCUUUUGAAUUUUGAUUAAAAGCACAGUAGUUUGUGACACAGAAAUUCAGGAUCUGACUCUGAAAGGGAGGUUAAAUGCUGCAUGGAAAAGCAAACUGGAUUCUGUCCCUUUAGAGGCUCUGCAGCAGCACGGACCUCUCCUAAACCUUACAAGGGGUUUCUGAGAUGCAGCCAAUCCAAGGGUAUUUUACAGAGAGUUUGGCAGCACUGAGAUAAUUUCACUUUUCCUGGGUGCUCCACUGCAGCAGAAUUGCUCCCAGCCAAGUACCAUUCUUUUUUUUAAGGAGGCAGGGGAGUUUUUGAUUGAUAUGUACAGACUUAGCAGGGUAUUGCUUGGCAUGUUUUGUGUAACAGAGUCCAAAAUUAACUGCAAUUUUCAUGCACAUUUCUGCCUGAAGGGCUGAAUAUUUGCCCUUAAAGCAGAGCAUCAUUUGAAUUAGUUGUUCCUCUUUUCCCUGCUCCUUUCCUCUCUCUUUUUUGAAUUGUAGACCCAAUAAAACUUCUUCUAAAUGCUGAUACAGUGCAUCCAAUUCACUAUAUUCUCUAAAUAUGAUUAUAUAGUUCCUUUUAAUGACAGUUUAACAUUGCUUAUAGUCUUACAUUCUUUUGCAUUCUCCUCAUAAUUUCCUCGGUCCUGCUCAAAAAACAAAACAACAAAAAAAUCUUCCUUGUCAUCUGUCAGAUGCGAUUUUUUUAUCAUAUAGUACUGCACUGGUGGCAAACAAAAUUGAUCCGUGUUUGUUAUUGUGAACUAAUUUAGAAUAUCCUUUCCAAGUUCUCGUUGUCGCUGCGGAUGUGGCCUCGGGCGCUAGAUGGCAGUGUGGCUGUGUGACAUCCAGGGAACGACAGCAGAAAAAGUCUCAACACGUGAAUCCUCAUGUUUCAAAAAUAUUUGUAAUAUUCCCUUUUUAUUAUGAAAACAAUUAUAAUGUGUAAAUGCUCCGGUUUUGCAGUCUAAAAGCUUUACAAACUUUCUUUUUCCUGCAUUAUGACUACACGGGGAACAUUUCUUAAUGAGUUAGACUGGUGAGUACAACAUUUUCCCAUUUUUUGGUCUACUGUAAAGCUCUCCAAUCGAUUAAUCUAUCAAAAGGCAGAAUUUUCAGUUCCUGGCAUCAUCAGCACAUUCCUUACCAUGAAUGAGGAAGGAGGAAUGACAGAAUGCUGCCCUCCCCUCUCUCCUCAAAUAACCUUUUAUUUGGUGUCAUGGCAAUGAUGAGAAUGGACAUUUUAAAACUCAGGUAAAAGCAAAGGGUGUUAGCUGGCAAUAGCAACCUUGCAUCCCUAUUUCAGGCUCCAGAGUCAUCCUGAAGACAACCAGUGCAACAGCUGUUACUCUCUCAGUGUUUGAGUGCUCUUGGAUGACUUCAAAAAAGAAGUGGCUUCAGAACCACUGCCCUUGCAUGACUGAUGAUUUUUGAAGGGCCCAAUCCUGCACAGGCUCUUUAGAAAAGAUUGUGUGUGUUUUGGGAAUGAAGCUGAACCCCUUGUGGUGUGUUAUUACUUUCCUAUGUCAUAUUCUACCUCUUUCUCACUGCUUUAGGUCUCCCUCUUGACCAGCCUGCAUGGGUCACUUUUUAUCAAGAUAAACUUGUGUCCUGUGUUUGUCAGGCUUAAUGAUCUCACUUUGCAGACAGGCAGGCAGAAAUAAUGCCUUGAGGAAUUUUGCAUGGAGUGUAUUAUUGCUGUUCAGACAAGAGGGAAAUAUGGAAUGGUGAGGGCUCACCAAGGCUGUUACGGGUGGCCAUUCUGCCUAAGGCACCCUAGAAUGUUCUAUUGCUCUCGCCACUGGAGUGCUCUCCGUAGGGCAGGAAGGGUUUGUGUCUGCAGGUGCGUCUGUCUCUGGGACAGGAGGGUGAACAGAGGACAGAGGCUGUUUCAGCUGUGCUCUGAUGGAACUGGGGAGUCAUCCAUGGCCUGUGGCUCCUGUUGGAUGCCAGGAUGAAGGGGGCAUUGUCUCAUUAUUCUCAGAGGCAAUGCUGCUUUCAGUGCCCAAAAGGAGAGGCAGAGCCCAGAGCAGACAUUUGAUUUCAGGUUUCUGCCGGUUGCCUUCUCCAUCUGAGUGCAGCAUCCAGUUCUGUCUCGUGAUAAACACCAGCAGUCAUUCCAUUGGGAAAGGAAGCUUGGAUGGGAAAACUAAGAUAUUUAUGGCCUUUAUUAAUGACCCUUCUCUGCCCCCAGUCUCUUUUUUGCUGUUGGUCUCUCUGCUCCCUGUUCCACUCUGGUGCUUUAUUUUGACAUUUUUGACCUCUCAUGCACUUCCUUUUUUUUCCACCCAUUGUCUCUUUCUGUCCUCGUCUUCUUUUCCUGGCAAUAGGGCGUAUCCCUGUGGCACUUGGUUUUGUUUGGUUGGGACUGACACCAGUCCCCACCGAGAACAUUUUGGUUUGGGUACUCAUAACUACUGUGUGUAAGUGUAAACCUCUCAUGGCUAGAAUCUUUUAUUUCUCAAUGAUGAACACAAACAAGGAAAGCCCUUGUUUAGUGGAAAUGAGAUUUGGGACUUCCUGCUGACUGAUCAACUGUAAAAUUAAAGCUGAACAUUUUGGAGAGCAGUGCUGAAGUAAAACAAAAUACACCCAAUGAAUCACAAAAGAAUUUUUCUGAGGUUUGAACUUUUGGGGUUUUCUUUCAAUGAUUCAAAAUAAAAAUGGAAUCCAAACUGGCCACAGAGCUGUCCCUAUCCUCUUACAAAGCAAUCAGACUCAAAGCAAGCAGAUAUACACCAUGAGCACAUACAAAUUGUGUCCCUUUUGAAGCCAAGGGUUUCUGUGCCAUCCCUCUGCCAGGAGUGCCACCUGUGCUGAGGGGCUGGGGCAGGGCACGAGCUACAGCCCACCCCACUGCCAGGAGCCCCCAGAGCAGGGCUGGGCGCUGCUAUGGUUUGCCUUGAAAGACAAGCUGGGCACAGCUAUUGCUUGGGAACAAAGCUGUCCUUUGAGGUUAUCUCCAUGACCAGAUGAUAUCCCCUCCUUACAGAAGGAAUUUUUCCUCCCAUCCUUCCCACUCAUGACACCAGUGCAGAAAACUGAGAGUGCUGUGUCCGGGGAGGUGUCUGUGCCUCAGGGUUCUCAGUUCCCAGGAGAAAACUCUUCAAAAUGCCUUUUCCAAAUCAGUUUGUUUUAAUAGCAGAUUAAAUGCCCUCAAGUCUCCUACUUGCGUUUUCAGUGAGAAAAUGGCCAAGCAAUAGCUGAAGCCCCUCAGAGAAACAGGACAUCCUGACCUGUGGCAGAUGGACUUCCUUUACACAGUUUUAACGAAAAUUUUCAACAAUAGCUCUGUGCAUGUUCUUAGGGGGGCUAGCAAGUACACGUGUUUAUGUACACAUGCACACACUGUGCAAUGCUACACAAGCUUUUUAAAAUAACAUACAAAAUACUCAGUAUAUUUUGCAGGAAUAAAUGUGUUUUGUAAAUAUAUGUAUAUAUAUAUUAACUGUGUUAUGACAUAAGGCAGGAUUAGGUAGAGAGAAAAUUUCAGGAUGUGGGUGGCCAUAGUUGAAGGUCUUACAGGGAGUGUUCACUAAAAUAUCCUUAGAACAUCAAAUUAAAAUAAAUGAAGAAUAAACUUAACCAAAGUAUCAGUGAACAUAAACAAAUCUUCAUGCUAAACAAAUAAUCCAAGGAAGCCAAAGUGCAAUAAUUAGAAAGGGAUAAUUAUGUUUCCUCUGCUUCCUAGAAGAGCAAUGUAAGAUUUUCAGUAAUUUCCUAAAUGUAUGGUGUAAUAUGCAGACAAAAACUUACAAACCCCGGUUAAAGUUUAUGCUAUACAAUAAUCUAUUCUGGCUGAGGGCCUGUUUCAUGGCAAUAAAGACAAAGAGAAUGAAUAAAAAUUUUUGAAAUACUUUAAAGUUGUUGUCUGCUAUAACAUAAAAAUAUCUGGAAAUGUAACAUAGAAGAAAACAAUUACAAUAUUGUAAUUUAGACAGGACCGUGGUAACAUAUUAUCCAGUCAUUGACUCUGUUGUCUUUAGCUCACACAUUUUCCUCUUUUGAAGGAGAUUUUUUAUUUUUAAUGUUUAUGAUUGUUAAUUUCAGUUAAUUUCUGAAGUACCAGAUUUCUAGGAAGAACAACAGAUGAGCACUGUUCUGAUGUCAAUUAUCUGGAACUGUUCUGUGGAACUCAGUUUAGAUUUUGAAGAAUUGGAACCUGGUUUUGGUAUUCCUGGGAAAUGAUGGAAUGCGGGCAGGGAGCAUUUGCUCCAAAGCAGGAGCACUGUGGUGUCCCUGUUAGCUGGAGUAGCUGAGCCCAGAAGGUGUGUGGCUAUGAGAACUCCACUUGCAGGCCAGUAAGGACAG